UUUUAUUUUAUUAAUAGAUAAUUAUCUUUUAACAAUUUUCCAGGAAAAAAUAGUCUGGAAAUACCUCUGCUUAUGACCUAUUAGUUUAUUUUUGUUCCUAAAGAGAAUCUGGAAGGGACUCCAGUAGGAAUGUUCUAUGUGUUUUGGAAGGCAUUUGAUAAAGAUUCAUCUCUACCUUCUAGCAGAGAGACUCCUCACCUUCAAAAGACCCAACAACUUUUCUAAGCCAGGCUCUCUAUGGUGCCAGUAGCCUAAUAAUGACUUUCAUCGUGUCUUGUAGAUCGCAGGGUGGCAAGUGUGUCUUGGGGAAUUAAAACCAGAUGCUGCUGAGUAGAAAUGGCUCGAGAUCUCAGUCACAGGCGGUGUGAGCACUUGGAGCCCAGCCAUAGAAGUGAAGCCCAGAGAGCUAUCCAUCCAAAACACGUGGUGGGCCUUUCAGAUGCUUAAUUCUUAGGAAAUUCACUUUGGACACUGGUAGAAUAGUUUGUUCCCUUUCUGAUUAAAAUUUUUAGAGUAAUGUUUUGCCAGGAAGUUUAACUGACAUCUCUGCAUAAUUUUGACUGGGUGUCAGUAAACUAAGUUAUAUGUUCAGUUAAGCCAAGUUAAGGUACACCUAUAAGCCCAGCCCUCAGGAGCAUCAGUAAUUCAAAGCCAGCCUCAGCAACAUGAGACCAUGCCUCAAAACACAGCAAACACUUUGUUUACCUCAGCCCUGCAGGUAUUCUCCUGCUGCAGUUCCGUGUAGUUCACUUGUCUCUUAGAAGUUGUGUGAGUGCCUCAAAGAAAGACAGCUCACUUGUCAACAUUCGUGAAGUGUUGGUCCCUUUCAUCCUUUUUGAGAAUUCAUAGAUAUUUUCGAAGCUUUAAUAAAAAUAGCUGGAGAACUUAACUUGAGUGAGGUCUUCCUGAGUCUUGUUAUAAUCCUGACUUGAGUAUCUUCAUUUUCCUUUCCACUUAACACAGAAUAUUUCUGUGAUUCUAUGAGUCAAAAACUAAGCCAGGAAUACUUAUGUAAAGGUCAAUACAGAGGACAAGGGGACGGCUAAGCAGGUAAAGGCACACCCCUGCAAGCCUGAAAACCUGAGCUCAAUCCUUGGAACCCAAACGGUGGAAAGACAGAACCAGCUCCCAUAACUUGCCCUCUGACCUUCAUACACAUGCCAUGGCACCACCCAUCGGGCUCAAGCACACGGGCGUGCGCGGGCACACACACACUCACGCGUACUUUUAAAUGUAAUUUUUAAGUCUAUAGAAAUCAGAAAAGCAGCUGGGUUUAGUGCUUGCCUGUGAUCCUAACCAGAAGAUCUGGAGCUCAGGACCAGCCUGGGCAGUUUGUCUAGGAUACAUAGUGACACUGUGUCCCCCGACUUUGCCAACCCCCUGCCCCCAAAAAGAAAAACACAAGACAAAAGAAAUCAGAGAGAACUGCCUCUAAAACAUAUUGGCAAUGAUAAAUAUGCUGAUUCGUUAAACCCAGGCUGAGUCCCAGGGAAGGACGGUGGUUAUAUAGCAAUAAAAUAUAUCACAAAGGAAAAAAGAUUACAACAUUAGAUUUUAUGCUUCUAAUUUUCCCUGUAAGUCAGCAACUCUAAGAUGAGCAAGGCUCCUGUUGAUACAGUCCAUGGCCAGAUGAAGUGUACUUCACCCAUCAAAAGGAGUGCCCCAGAGUUUUCUUAAGAAUCUUUUGUUCUUAAAGCAUGAAAGUUAAUGACUUCAGCUUUAAUGGGGAUGGCGAACCCCAGGGUGAAGAGUUGGGUUCCCAGUAGAAGACCAUGAUAAAACAAAUGACAAAAUAAAUAAAAUAAAUAAAACAGAUGACAAAAUUAGGAUCUUCUCAAAUCGCCAGCCAGCUAGUGGGUCCCCUUCCUUUUUUAAAUCAGGGUCUAAGGUCACCAGAGCCUGCUGUUGUUUUAGGGUCUGAGUAAAGAGGUUUUCAGGGUAGACACUGGGUCAUUUUUUUUAAAAAGCAAGGUGGUUCUCAGAAAGUGCCUUUUUUGAAGAUGGUGCUGUAGAUUUUUAUUUUUCAAAUAAUAUAAAGCUAAACUUUUUUAGGAUAAUUGAGAAUACCAAGAAGAUGUCAGUUUCAUAUAAAUAGUGUUAUCUGUUGUCCUGAAUUUGGUCUAGAGAACCAAGCGAACUCUGUAAUCACGUGUCUAAGUUAAUGCUCACCGAAUUAGUUUUGUAAGUUUGAACAUAUAAUGUUUAAUUCUCAGCUAUGUUUGAAGUGUCUAUGACAUAUAUAAGAUAACAGAUGCUAUAGUAAGUGCCCCAGGGUAAAGGAACCAUGGCAGGAGCUGUGUACAAGAGGAGCCUCUUCCUCUUCCGGUUCAGCACAGGUUACCUCCCGCCCUAACCUUUCCUGAUGACUCAUCUUUAAGGACAGUGCUUACAAAGGAAGAGCUCUGUCACUGAGACCAGUUUAACCUAGAAAGCAACAGGGCAGCCCAGGCUUUAGGGAGAUUAUGGUUUUUAGACAGUAAUGACUAUUUUAAACGAUUCCUGGUUUUUAGGGUGGAAGGACAGUGGAAAAUGUCAGGAAGAGGGCAUGGUCGAUUAUUUAACAAUAGAUCACAGUCUUGGAAGAGUAGGCAUGCUUGCUUAGCAUAUGCAAAGCCCUGAUUUCAUCCCUAGCACUAGGGGAAGAAAAAAAAUGCAGUUUGGGCUGUAGGAAUAAGCAAAGUGAAACCAUUCAAGCCCACUAGGAACUCAGUCAUCUGUUAGGAAGCUAGCAGCUUUUUCUUACAGCAAGAAGCAGUAAACAGCUAAAUGACCAACUGAACCAAUUCCUGCUUGUGAAUUUAGUGACCAUUCCUCCAGAAGAUAACCAUACUAAAAACACACAGAAUCCCACCCCCACCCCCCCAGUAACCUUGUCUGCAGCAUUAUGUAAGAACAUCAGUAACAUUGCACUGACCGUCUGGGGUGAACUCUGGCUGUUCGCACAUUAAACUUGUUCAUUUUUAUAAUGUCUUAAUAGCAAUUAUUAGUUUAUUUUUAAGAUUGUUUUUUAAUUUUUCUAUAGUGAUGUUUAUAUGUAUUGGCAGUUUGUGUGCAACUUUUGCACUUUGCCCAGAUGUUGGGUUUAAGGUCUUUUAUUUUUAUAGCUAUAUCUAGCUUUUCGCUUUCGUUGUGAUAUUAGCAGAAAUUGAGAUAGCAUGUUAAUAUAUCAACCAAACUACUAAUUCUAUAGAGUUUGGAUUUUUACCAAUAAACCAUUAGCACUAUUUUCUACUUUAGAAUAUUUAGUAUUUUACACAAUGGGCAUUAAAGACAGCCUUUAGGUGAGUUUCUA
rnacentral:lncRNA from 1 species